rnacentral:rRNA from 1 species
UACGGGGGGGCAAGCGUUGUUCGGAAUUACUGGGCGUAAAGCGCACGUAGGCGGAUUGCUAAGUCAGGGGUGAAAUCCUGGAGCUCAACUCCAGAACUGCCUUUGAUACUGGCGAUCUUGAGUCCGGAGAGGUGAGUGGAACUGCGAGUGUAGAGGUGAAAUUCGUAGAUAUUCGCAAGAACACCAGUGGCGAAGGCGGCUCACUGGCCCGGUACUGACGCUGAGGUGCGAAAGCGUGGGGAGCCAAACAGGGAUUAAGAU